UAUAUAUAUCAAGAAUAAUCCACUCUAAUGUGACCACAUGCCAAACUAGCCAGCCUACAGAGUGCAUUUUGUGAAGGUUUGUGAAGGACCUGUGUAUGGUGCCUGCUCUAAGCUAGUUGGAUGAUUUGAGAGAGAGCAACAUUAUUUUCGGUCGCUUGGCUGACUAUUGCCCAUAUUUCUACCUGAGUUGGUGUCGUCACUUCAUGUAUUUAAAUCGUCAUGUUAAUUUUCAAAAUAUUUUUCUCUUAAUUACAGCUUGAAGGAUCUUAGUUGGAGGAGACACGUGAUUUUACUAAAGGUAACGAACAACGUCAAUUACUUGAAAAAUAAGGGGGAAAAAGCUUCACGUAGAACGUGCCCAUGGGUCACAAAAGUGGAGGGCCUGCAUGAUUGGAAAAAUGAAAAUUGGCAAUCUUGCGGAGACUAUUGCUUCUCUAGCAUUUGUGCAUCGAUAUUGCAUGAAAAUAAAGUGAUGCAACUAGAAAACACGUACCUUUCUUGCUAUUUGUGUAUCGAUAUUCUUGCACUUUUUUUUGAGCGACUAUAUAGUGAUUUUGCUUAGGCUAUGUACCUGUCUAUAAUAAUAGUCUGAUAUGAUCUUGCAAUAAAAUGGGAUGUGCGUCUUGCUUGACGUAAGUGGGUUGAAUGUAAGGAUGGUGUUGGUAUAUGUUAUCCGAUC
rnacentral:lncRNA from 1 species